rnacentral:lncRNA from 1 species
UCGGUCGUCACUAUCAUAUUCAGUCGGCACCGCCACUAGCGGUCCACCCCGACGCACCACCAUCGACCGCUCACCGCCCCCACCGGACCACCAUCGACCCUCCCUUCACUUCCAAGGACUUCAUACCCCCAGUUUAUUCUUAUUUUCUUUACCUGGAAAGCAAAGGGUUUUGGGUUCCUUCAACUCCAUCUCUAUUAGGCUUAUUGUUUCCUUCUCAGUUCUUAUCCCUCUUUCAAUUUUCACUUCUUUUGGUAAUUUCGUCGACUCCUAUGGUUAGAAUGACUUCUUCUUCACAUUGUCGGCAUAAUCGUCUUACUCCUUCUCCAGGUAUGUUGUGUUCUUAAAAUUCAUCCUUUUCUUUCAUUUGUUUCCUCCCUGUCUUACUAUUGUUUCCAACGUAGGGACUCAAGGUAGCCCUAAAUCGGUUGAAGGAAUAUCUCACUCUAUUUCAAUUUGGCAUAUUACACGAGCAGAAUUCUUCUAUUUCAGAACAUUCCGAGAUUCGACUUCAUUUGAAGAUUUCAAUGGAUAAGUUUGGAUAUUGAUACGAAACACUUUCGCUAUUAGAUUAUACACAAUUUGGCAAGAUAUAUCCAUCAGCUCCUAAGUAGUAAAACCAGAAGCAUAAAUGGCAAUUUUGUAUUACAAGAAUUACUAGGUUUUUCAUUAUGAAGUGAAUCUAACGAUACUCUCUCACCCCUUUGAAUGGGUAUAUUAGGAUAUAUCUGUUUUGGGAUAGAAAAACUCAUCAAAUUGACAAGUUAUACGUAUCAAAUCAUGUUUUUUAUUUGGAACUUGAUUUUCAUUACAUUUUGAUGGUAGGGUUUAAUUGCAAGUUUUUUUCUUGGUGGCUGUAUUUCUAUUGCCCUUCUCUUGGUUCUGGUGAAAAAAACCUUUUUCCUUUUCCUUUUCCUUUUCCUUUUCUCUUUCUAACCUUGAUUAUUUAAUGUUUAGACAAAACUGCAAAUUUGGUCCUUGUGGUUUGGCAAAACCUUUGGAUGGGGUCCAAAAAGUUUCCAGCUUGCACCAAAGGUCCAAAAUCAAGGUUUUCAUGGGUUUUUAGUCCAUUCCGUCAUUGACCGUUUGUUUGGGGCCGUUAGUGCCUUCACGUGCCCUCCAUGUGAGGGCAUUUUGGUCAUUUUAGGUCCUAGCCUCCGUUCCCGCCACUUCAAUUAAUUAGAUUGCAGACUGUACACUCCUUCGUCUUCUACUCAUACCUCUUGAUUCAAACGCAAAAACCCUAACGAUCGUCUGAAAAUUGGAUUGUGUUCCUGCUUUUGAAAAUGUGGGGACUUAGAAAUGUUGGAGAGAUUGUCAACGUUCAAGAAGUUUAUG